rnacentral:rRNA from 1 species
UGGGGAAUAUUGCACAAUGGGCGCAAGCCUGAUGCAGCCAUGCCGCGUGUGUGAAGAAGGCCUUCGGGUUGUAAAGCACUUUCAGCGGGGAGGAAGGCGGUGAGGUUAAUAACCUCAUCGAUUGACGUUACCCGCAGAAGAAGCACCGGCUAACUCCGUGCCAGCAGCCGCGGUAAUACGGAGGGUGCAAGCGUUAAUCGGAAUUACUGGGCGUAAAGCGCACGCAGGCGGUUGAUUGAGUCAGAUGUGAAAUCCCCGGGCUUAACCCGGGAAUUGCAUCUGAUACUGGUCAGCUAGAAUCUUGUAGAGGGGGGUAGAAUUCCAUGUGUAGCGGUGAAAUGCGUAGAGAUGUGGAGGAAUACCGGUGGCGAAGGCGGCCCCCUGGACAAAGACUGACGCUCAGGUGCGAAAGCGUGGGGAGCAAACAGG